GAGUUUGAUCCUGGCUCAGAAUGAACGCUGGCGGCGUGCUUAACACAUGCAAGUCGGACGAGAAAGGCUGAUUUCGGUUGGCCGAGUAAAGUGGCGCACGGGUGAGUAACGCGUAGGCAACCUGCCCUUGUAUUUGGGAUAACAGAGCGAAAGUUCUGCUAAUACCGGAUGAGAUCCCUUGGCGGGAGUUGGGGGAUGAAAGUCGGCCUCUUCUUUGAAAGCUGACGUACGGGGAUGGGCCUGCGUCCUAUCAGCUAGUUGGUGGGGUAACGGCCUACCAAGGCGACGACGGGUAGCUGGUCUGAGAGGAUGAUCAGCCACACUGGCACUGGAACACGGGCCAGACUCCUACGGGAGGCAGCAGUGAGGAAUUUUGCGCAAUGGCCGCAAGGCUGACGCAGCAACGCCGCGUGGGUGAUGAAGGCCUUCGGGUCGUAAAGCCCUGUCAGGUGGGAAGAAAGGCUUGGUUGGGAAUACCGAUUGAGUUUGACGGUACCACCAGAGGAAGCACCGGCUAACUCCGUGCCAGCAGCCGCGGUAAUACGGAGGGUGCGAGCGUUAUUCGGAAUUAUUGGGCGUAAAGCGCGUGUAGGCGGGGGAGCAAGUCUGAUGUGAAAGCCCUGGGCUUAACCCGGGAAGGGCAUUGGAAACUGUUUCUCUUGAGUACUGGAGAGGAAGGGGGAAUUCCCGGUGUAGAGGUGAAAUUCGUAGAGAUCGGGAGGAAUACCAGUGGCGUAGGCGCCUUUCUGGACGGCUACUGACGCUGAGACGCGAAAGCGUGGGGAGCAAACAGGAUUAGAUACCCUGGUAGUCCACGCUGUAAACGAUGAUCACUAGGUGUAGCGGGUACUCAUUCCUGCUGUGCCGUAGCUAACGCGUUAAGUGAUCCGCCUGGGGAUUACGGUCGCAAGACUAAAACUCAAAGGAAUUGACGGGGGCCCGCACAAGCGGUGGAGUAUGUGGUUUAAUUCGACGCAACGCGAAGAACCUUA
rnacentral:rRNA from 1 species